rnacentral:rRNA from 1 species
UACGGGGGGGGCAAGCGUUGUUCGGAAUUACUGGGCGUAAAGGGCUCGUAGGCGGCCAACUAAGUCAUACGUGAAAUCCCCAGGCUCAACCUGGGAACUGCGUCUGAUACUGGUUGGCUUGAAUUCGGGAGAGGGAUGUGGAAUUCCAGGUGUAGCGGUGAAAUGCGUAGAUAUCUGGAGGAACACCGGUGGCGAAGGCGGCAUCCUGGACCGACAUUGACGCUGAGGCGCGAAAGCCAGGGGAGCAAACGGG